rnacentral:rRNA from 1 species
AGACCAACAAACCCCCAUCAAUACCCCCAAACGCCCUUAGCCACCCCUAAAACAAAUCAUUUUUCCCCCCUAGUACAGGUGAUAGAAAAGGAACUGCGGAGCGACAGAAAAAGUACCGCAAGGGAAAG